UACAGAGGUGGCAAGCGUUGUUCGGAAUUACUGGGCGUAAAGGGCGCGUAGGCGGUUCGUUAAGUCCUGUGUGAAAUCCCCGGGCUUAACCUGGGAACUGCAUUUGUGACUGCAUAGCUAGAGUACGGUAGAGGGGGAUGGAAUUCCGCGUGUAGCAGUGAAAUGCGUAGAUAUGUGGAGGAAUACCGAUGGCGAAGGCAGCCCCCUGGGUCGACACUGACGCUCAUGCACGAAAGCGUGGGGAGCAAACAGG
rnacentral:rRNA from 1 species